AUGCAGUUAUUCAAUGACUGGAUCGCGGAGCUCGGCCUCCGUGAGAUCGAGAGAUCGGGGGCGAGAUUUACCUGGACUAACCGCCAGGCCGACCCGACACGAUCCUUUCUGGAUCGGGUCCUAGUUUCCCCAGAAUGGGAGUUGAGGUGCCCCCUGUCUUCGCUGCGGGCGAUUACCCGCAUUGGGUCGGACCACGUUCCUCUCCUCCUAUCCUCUGCGGACGAACGCCCCUCCUGCCCGCCGCGGUUUAGGUUUGAGUCCUUUUGGCUCAACCAGGCUGGCUUUCGGGAUGCGGUUUCGGCUUGUUGGACGCUUGCUCGCGCCUCCCCCCAUCGCUCCAUGUCCGCCGUCGACUCGUGGCACUUCUGCGCCAAGCUUGCACACCAAUUCAUGAAGGGCUAGGGUGCCAAUCUUGGCCGUGACCUCCGCGAGUGUAAACGAUCUCUCCUGCUGGCUAUCCAAGCCCUGGACGCUCAGGUCGAUUCCUCUGGGCUUUCUCCGGAUGAGUGGAUGCUGAGGUAUGAUCUUGAGGAUCAGCUUUCCUCCAUCUACACCGACGAGGAGGCUUACUGGAGGGUGCGUGGUACCCAACGAUGGGUUCUCCGUGGUGAUGCGAACACUGCUUAUUUCCAGGCAGUUGCGAAUGGCCAACGCCGUAGAAACUCCAUCCACUGCUUAUGGGCGGAUGACGUCCCCCUUGUCCGCCCCGCGGCCAUUCGGGCUCAUGUAGACGACUUCUACAAAGCCCUCUUUUCCCCCACCCCUCGGGGUGGGGCUAGUCUCGCCCCCGACACUUGGUCGGGGGUGCAGCUGGUCUCCGACGAGGCCAAUGCGGCCCUUGUUACCCCCUUCGCCGAAGUCGAGGUCCUUGCGGCCAUUAAAGGAAUGAACCCCUCCUCGGCCCCGGGUCUGGAUGGCCUGCCUGUUGCGUUCUUUAAAACAUUCUGGCAGACUGUUAAACCGGAGGUCAUGGCCUUAUUCGAGGAGUUCUAUUCGGGCUCUAUGGACCUGGGACGCCUCAACUAUGGGAUCAUUACCCUCAUACCAAAGGUUCCGGGCGCCUCUGACAUUCGCCAGUUCCGCCCUAUCACUGUGAUUAAUGUGAUAUUCCGGAUCCUGGCCAAAGGGUACGCCAAUAGGGUGACCCUGCUUGCUAACUCGAUCACUCACCCGAACCAAUCGGCCUUCAUCCAAGGCCGGUUUAUUCUCGAUGGCGUGUUGGUCUUCCAUGAAGUCCUUCAUGAAGUACGGGCGAAACAUCAUCGCGCUGUCUUCCUGAAGCUUGACUUCCAUAAAGCCUAUGAUACUGUCCACUGGCCUUUCCUUUGGGAAGUGCUACUGGGUAAGGGCUUUGACGACCGCUAG
rnacentral:rRNA from 1 species